rnacentral:lncRNA from 10 species
GAAACACCCAAGAAUGAUCAAUAAAUACUAAAAACAAACAACAACAAAAAAAACAACUAUGCUGAGUAAAAGGAGCCAGACCCAAAAGACCAUCUAUGAUUCUACUUAUAUGAAAUCUUUAGAAAUGCAAAAGUAUAGCCAGCAUGGUGGUUCAUACCUGUAAUCCCAGCACCUUGGGAGGCCAAGGCGGGCGGAUUACUUGAGAUCAGGAGUUUGAGACCAGCCUGGCCAACACGGCAGAACCCAGUCUCUACUAAAAAUACAGCCAGGUGUGGUAGUGCACGCCUAUAAUCCCAGUUACUCUGGUGGCUAAGGCACAAGAAUCACUUGAACCCGGGAGGUGGAGGUUGCAGUGAGCCAAGAUGAUGCCACUGAACUCCAGCCUGGGUGGCAAAGGAAGACUGUCGAAAAAAAAAAAAAAGAAAAAGAAAAAGAAAAAGAAAAGAAGGAAGGGAGGGAGGGAGGGAAAGAAGAAAGAAGGAAGGAAGGAAAGAAGGAAGGAAGGAAAAGAAAAGAAAAGAAGAGAAAGGAAGGAAGGAAGAAAAGGCAAAACUAUAGAAUCAGAGAACAGAUUAGUGGCUGCUGGGGCCUGGGGUAGGAGAGGAGACUGACUAUAAACAGGCAGGAGGGAACUUUGUCAGUCGACAGUCAUGUUCUGUAGCUAGAUUGGGAUGAAGUUUGCUGUUAAAAAUGCACUAAAACUCACCAAACUACACUUAAGAUGGGUAGAUUUUGUGGUAUAUAAGUUAUACUUCAAAAAACUAUAAAUAAGAAAGUUAACUGGAACAUCCUGUGCUUUCCAAAUCAAGACACCUUUCAGAGGAUACAUUCAUAGCCUUUGCCCCGGGUAAGUGCUUUCAAAUAUAAUACUCUAGUCCCAGUAUAAAUUCAAUAUACCUGUUUCUAAACACAGAGUAUUAAGCGAUACUGAGAGAAAUGGCAGAUAUAUUAGCAUAUGAAUCUAAAUGUAUUAUUGAAAGAGUGGUUUUAAGAGAAGUGUAGACAGCAGCCUACUCUAAUGAAAAUAAAUGUCAAUGAAAAUAAGCUACAUUUGUCAUUUUCAUGAAAAAAUUAUUUCUAUCAUCAUCUGCAAAUCAAUUUCCUUAAUAAGGGUUCGUGACAAUUUUCAGGAUUUCUUGAAAUGAUUUUUAUGAUAUAUUAAGACUCAUUUCUACAUAACCUUGAUUUCAAAUCAAAAUUGCUUUUAACUUCACAUUCACAGGUAUGUGAGCUAUUAAACCUAAGUCAGGCAGAGAGGAUCAGUUUCAUCAAGCGUCUCAGAUGAGAGCGUUCACACCCUUCUCUUCUUCACGUGCCACACUGCCUCCUCUUUGUCUCCACUUCACCGGGCAUGCUGAGGAUUAUGAACACUUUUCAAAGUCAACGCUACUGACUUCUAUCUUCCUAAGCAAAAAUAAGCCACCAAAAGUAGAGAUUUAUAAAAGAAAGCAAGCUCAGACUUAGUUUCUGAGAAGUCCAUUUCCUCACACAGAGGAGUCUGGGUCUCUGCCUGUUGGAGGAGGUGGCUGUCUGUGUGCUCUGAUGGAAAUUCUGCCAGUUUCCUUCAGCAGUUAACACCCUCAGCUUCAGGGCCGAAACAUGCUCCAGGUUGUCCUUUGGCUGAAAGCCCGCUAAAAUGGCAAUAAUUCCCUCUGACCACAACAGCCUUGCGUGUGGUGCUUUCUCUUAAUUAUUCCUCCUGCCCCUGGUCCUUCAGCUCCACAUUAUUCCCACUCUCCAAAAAUUCUAUUCUUCACUUCCUUCUCUUUCCAGCUUAGGUCCCAUGGGCCACCCUUCAUUUUUCUGACCAGCCCUCUCAACUCCUUUUCCUCCUUCUUUUUACACCAUACAUUCUUGUCUAGGGAAAGACCCCAAUUCAGAACAGUUUUGCCUAUAAGGACAUGAAGCCCAAAUUUCCCAUGUGACAGACCCACGUGGGGGAAAAUGAUAAAGUAAAAAGAGGAUAGGCUGUUGAGUCAGAGCCUAGCUUAAAUCCUGGUGCUGUCACCUACAAGCUGUGUUGCAUUGGUUAUGUUCAACAAGCUCUGUGUGCCUUAGUUUCCUCACCUGUAAAACGGGGCUAAUUUACCUACCUCCGGGGCUGUUGAGAUAAAUAUGGAAUGAGCAUAGCGAUGUGGCAGGAGCUUAGUGGACCCUUAGUAAAUGGUGACAAAAGCCUAACAAACAAGCACUCUGAUGUCCAUGUUCACUGUUGUUCUCUCGACCCAGUCUGCUUUCUCCACUUUCUACUUGGUUCCUAUCCUCCUUGUGGCCUGGAUAACACCUACUUAUUCCUGGAGACUCCACUAAAAUGUCAACCAUUAGAACUGCACUGUCAAAAACAGCAGCCAUUAGUCAAAUGUGGCUACUUACAUUCAAAUUAAGAUUAAUGAAUAUUAAAAAUCCAGUUCCUCAGUCACACUGUCCACAAUUUGAGUGCCCAACAGCCACAUGGGGCUGGCUAGUGGCUACUGUGUUGGGACAACACAGCGUGGAACAUUUUCAUCAUCACAGAAAAUUCUAUUGGACAGAGUUUCUCUAGAGGAAAAUGUCUUUGUUAACCCUCUCCUAAAGAACUCGUGUACUUUUAUAAGCAUACUCAUCACUUCCUAAAAUGAGUGUUGAUUCUUUUACUCCAUAAAUUGUGAACUUCUUGAAGUACCACUUAAAUCCAUACAAAUUUGCUAAAUGAACUGUUGAAUAAUUGGUUAACAAGCCUUUUUAAAAAUCAAAGUCAAGUAACAACAGGUGCUGGUGAGGCUGUGGAGAAACAGGAACGCUCUGACACUAUUGAUGGGAAUGUAAAUUAGUUCAACCAUUGUGCAAGACAGUGUGGUGGUUCCUCAAAGACCUAGAACCAGAAAUACCAUUUGACCCAGCAAUCCCAUUAUUGGGUAUAUACCUGAAGAAAUAGAAAUCAUUCUAUUAUAAAGAUACAUGCAUGUGUAUGUUUGUUGCAGCACUAUUCACAAUAGCAAGGAGAUGGAAUCAACCCAAAUGUCCAUCAGUGAUAGAUCGGAUAAAGAAAAUGUGGUACAUAUAGACAAUGGAAUACUAUGCAGCCAUAAAAAGGAAUGAGAUAAUGUCCUUUGCAGGGACAUGGAUGGAGCUGGAAGCCAUUAUCCUCAGUAAACUACUGCAGGAACAGAAAACCAAACACCACAUGUUCUCACUUAUAAGUGGGAGCUGAACAAUGAGAACACAUGGACACAGGGAGAGGAACAACACACACUGGGGCCUGUCGGCGGGUGGAGGGAGAGAGAGCAUCAGGAUGAAUAGCUAUUGCAUGCAGGGCUUAAUACCAAGGUGUUGGGUUGAUAAGUGCAGCAAACCACCAUGGCACACACUUACCUAUGUAACAAACCUGCACAUCCUUCACAUGUACCGCAGAACUUAAAAUAAAAUUUGAAUUUUUAAAAAAGCUUUUUGAAAAAUAAACCUCUUAAUUGUCUGGAGGCUCAGACAAUUUCCAUGAGGAAGAGUGCCUGAUAUCUUUGCUUUCAGAACCUGGUCCUGAGAGAUUUUGUCUAGUUUUGCUUCCUAUUCCGUUUCUCAAACCAUUUCUAAUCCUUAACCCAUUCAGGCAAGCGGAGCCCUCCACCACGUGGCCAGAAUUUCCUGACGUCCAAGAAAGGGCAUUAAACAAUAUGGCUUCUGAGAAAACAUCUAAUAUCAGAUAAGUCAUUGAAUAUAAAAGUUCAUCUCUGUACUCACAGUGCCAGAGUCAGUGCCUGGCCCACAGUAAACACCUAAAGAGUAUUUAUUGAAAAAAAUGAAUGGGUUGUUAUUUUAUCAGGGACUAUACUCUUAGGGAGGAAUGAGGUACAAGGGGAGAGAUGCUGGAAAGGAUGGAGAGCCAAUAUGGAGGAGUACUGAGCUGCCGAGUGUGACUGAUUGCUCAAUCCACAGACCACACUCCCAAGAAGGUGGAUAAAUGGGAGCUCAGAACCAGCCCUGUGAUGGAGUGGGGAAAGGGAGAAGAACUUACUCCCGGGAUGUGCUUGGUCUAAGAUUCACCCCCUUGCUCCUCUGGAUUGUGCAUUCCAGAGCGUGGGCAUUAGUGGAGUCUGCAGUGAUGUCAACAUGGGAGUGUUGGGUGGGAGAUGAGAGGGGUACUGGUGUGAAAUUGGCUGGGGCCCACACAGAGCUGGAACAAGAGAUGGGGAGGCCGAGGCUCUGGAGUGGUGCAUAAACAGGUGUUGGGCACAAUGUAUAUAAAUUAGCCUUUUAAAUUAUCUACCAUCAUGGGCAGGACUUGAGACUGGAGGAUAGGCCAUUUGGGGAAGGUUUAUGUGGGGUGUUCUCAUAUUCAAUUCCUGGCAAGGUUCUAGGUACAUUGGAAGUAUCAAUAAGAAUCAACUGGUUGAUUGCAUAGAGGCAUCUAAGCAGGCCAGUAUGAUACUAGGUACUAGGUUCCUAAAGGGGGACACUGAUGGAGGGGAAGUGAAUGUGGGGACAUGAGGAGAAAUGGUGGACAGAAAGGGGCUGAAAACAAACUUAAUCCACUUUAUAAUUUUGUCUGGGUCCAAGCUGACUUGGAAAUAUUCCCUAUGUCCUCUCCUUUGUUCUAAAAGCACCCAGAACCCCUUCCGAAGUUUCUUCUUUAAUAAGAUUUCCUAAUCAUUAUAAAACCCACUUAAGACCCAGGUAAAGGUUGUGCUCCUAAGGAUCAAUAAACUCAACUUUCCACUAGAUUUUCCUGAAGCCCAAGCACUGCUCUCUUUGUUUUCAGCAUAUAUCACCACCGCCUAAGUUAGGUCUGUUGUCCAGUAAGUAGAUAGUAUAGCUCUCUUUUGCUCCACACAUUGUCUACAGCUGACAGGUAUCAUUUGGAGAAUAAAAUUAGCAAAUGUUAUUGCUGUGUCUAUUUAUAUUUUAUUAAUCAACAGAUUUUUAGCAAAUUUUGGUUUUAUCUCCAUGAAUCAUAGACUUGAAAGGCCAAAGACACUCCAGGGAAUUCUUUAUUUUAGCAUCUUCUUUCCAGGCAAAAAGACAGGACAUCCCCAUUAGAGUUGUUGUAUUGGACCCCUCGUGUGCACCACUUCAAAGUCCUCUUGGGUUGUUCCUCUUAUUUCAGCCACAGCUGUAGACACCUGUUUUCCUGGAGGCUUUGAGCAGCUUGGCACAGGUGCUCUAGGACAGUGGCCUCACCUUGACCCUCAUAGGGAUCUCUUGCUUCCUGCCCUAGCCAUCUCUAAUCUUGGUUAAUAGUUCUAGAAAUCCACUCUGCACUCAAGCACAACCCAGCAGUGCAGGGGAGUUAGUCUUGUGAGGGCCAGUCUAGACCAGUGAAGAUCUGGAGUCAGUGGAUAAAAGCACUCCAUUUCAUCCCCUGGCAGACAGUUCUGAAACACUUCAUAAACCCUUUCACCAGUCCACUGGGAUCAACCAGCCAAUGCAAUGACACAGGCUUCUGUUGGCUCCUCCCCUCACUUUCUUCCACUCCCCCUUUCUGCAUUUCUGCUCCUGAGGAUCACAUUUCCAAACAAGCUACUUAUGCACAAGUCCCCAAAUGCUGAGCCAGAGACUAAGGCUUGUGCAUAAGUAGUCUCUGGCUCAGCUUUUGGGGGACCCUAGGCUAACACAAGUGGUUGGCAGUCUUAGAUUGGGUUUGCAAAAUCUCAUACCCUGGAUUCAUGCUCCCAGGGUGCAUCACCCAUGAUUGGUCCCUUGAUGCACCCACCACCUCCCCGACAGAAGGACUCCUCAACUACAGUGAUGUGGUGUGUGUGUGUGUGUUUGAUGUGUGUAUUUUUUCCAAGGCUGAAAUAGGAAACAGGAAAGAGACAUUCCCUGAGAACUUUUGUGCCUACCCUUUUUUUGGUUCUCUCACUUGUCUCCUUUAUACAAGGAGGACACAGAUUUAGAGAGGCCAGAUAACUCAUCCAAGACCACACAGCAAGAAUUCAAACUAGAAUUUGAACCCAGUCCUGUGGAUUCAAAGUCCAUAAUCUUUCUACAGCAUGGGAACAGCAGACAAAUCCUUAUAAGUCUUGAGCAUCCUUUUACUUCCACAUGUACUCCUUGAAGAUCUAUAGGACACACUUUACAUAAGGCAUGACCUGUAGAUGUGCAGUUUCACUCUUUUCUGGGGUCAUUUCUUCUCAGGUCUCUGCAUUUGGUCCUUCUCCAUCUCCUUUGGAAAACAAGGUGCUGAGCUGCUUUCCUGGCUCAUUUUGACUCUCAGUGUAAAAAGUGUUCUGCUUUGUUGGCUAGAUUUUCCCCUUUUCUUCCUCCACUGGGUCACAUACUUUCACCACGAAGCCUUUUGGCUUAUCUUUUUAUUCUCCUUUGCCUCAUUAGAAGCAUAACUACAGACUCCCUUGGUGCAAAUUCCUUCACUCUAGGCAGAAGUGCAGAAGCUACCACGUGGAGAAGCAUUUCCCAGACAUCUUCAAUGUCUCUUCAAGCUUGACUUGGGGGAAUGCAUAGGAAGGAAGGUGAACAUCAUAAACCCAUGGAGACCACUGACACAACCCUCAUCUUCCAAGGUGCUUGGUUAGAAUGGAGUCUCACUCUGGCUGGAAUGCAGUGGUGCAGUCUUGGCUCACUGCAACCUCUGUCUCCCGAGUUCAAGCGAUUCUCCUGCCUCAGCUGCGCAAGUAGCUGGUAUUACAGCAGAUGAAUAAUAGGGGGUCUCCAACCGGACAGAAAAUGAAUGCUGUCCUCACAUUUGUGUAAGAGGAGCCGAGACAUCUGGAUGUGAAGCCCCAUCAAGUGCUCCCAGGGGCAAUGGUGGCACCUGUGGAACCUCCAACAGCUCAUGGAGCCCCACCUUCUGAAAGAUGUUCAGAGCUGAGUGUGCGGGAGCCGUGGCUCAUACAGGGCUUUGGGAGACAGAAUCACAUUUAGAAAGUAAGGCUGUGUGACAAUACCCAGGGCACAUUCCCAGCUGUCCCUGCCUUUAUCGUUUGUAGGGACCUGGUGCUUUGCAGUUCUCCUGGAUCCUGCAUAAACCCUGGAGCUUUGGGAUACAGGCUAAUGGAAUAUCCUUGCCCCUGGGGGAGGGCUACACUGGUGUCCUCACCCUUGACUUCAUGGUGAUGGUGGUUCACCUUGCAGAUGGAUCCCAAUGUCCCUCUGUGAGACAUAGAUGAUUUCACAGCACAGCUUUUUUGGGGUCUAUCCUGAUCUGACCCAGUUUAACAGUGGGUAGAGUCCUCCAUGUCUUUCUCCAUCAUCUCCUGGGAACCAGUUUCACACCUGACCUCUAUUUUAUGCUUUCCAAAUUACACAGGAAAAUUUGGCUUCCUUCUGGAAACUCCUAAAGUGCAAAACACUCAUGUUUUUAACUGCUCCAUCCCUAUUAUAAUAGUCAAUACAUAUUAAGCACUUACUGUGUGCCAGGCUGUCUGUGCCAAGAAAUUUGCAAACAUUAGCUUACUUUAUCUUUACAGGAGUUCUCUGAGAUAGGUAUUAUUAACAUAUAAUGGUUUGUUAAUACAAAGUUUCACAGAUGCUUCCAGAAUUCACAAAAAACUGUGCACAGUGUCUUUAAGAAUUAACUGGCACAUUCAUACCUUGAUGAGAGCAUUCUCUUUUAAUCAUGCCCUUCUUAUUUGCCAUACCAUUUACAACAAAAUACACCAUUGAUGUUUAGCUAAAUGAAAGCUGAAAAAGAAAAUUGGUGAAUGAGAAAGCCAGUGGUCAUGAAAGUGCUAGAAAUAUUCAGCAGUUUGAAUAGCUCUGAACUGUGUAAAUCAUUUGAAAUAUUCCUUCCCCCACCUAUGAACUGAUUUUUAUUGUUUUUCAUAAAUUUUUUCUUUUUUUCAUAGUAUUAAUGUAUUGUAUGUGUUUUCAAAUAUUUUCUCAUAUAUGAAAAGGGCCAUUCCACAGUGUUCUUUGUAAGCUUUCCCUCACAUCAUUGUUUUGGAUGAGGCUUUAUGCUUCUCAAAGCAGUGAGAUAACAGAUAACACAGAAGCCAUGUGCUGGCACUUCUAUUCAGGUUGGCAUGGCCUCAACCAUUUUGAGUCAAAUUUCUGUCUAGUCUAGUAGGACCAUUUCCUAAAGUUGUAUCCAUACUAGGAAGGCAGAUAUGAAGAAAUGCUGCUAUGCUACCAAUCAGAAUAAUGUAGGCUUUGGGGUCCUGGGCUGGUAAAGCCUGGGUAUGAUGGCUAAAUUGAGCUGUUCUUACCCAGAUGAGGCUUAUGGUCAUCUGCUCUGUCUCCAAAGGUAAUCAGCCACUGCACAUGAGGUUUACUACACUGCACACGCAUGUGUGUUCUCUAGGUAAAUUUAAAUGAUAUUUUUUGGGGGGAAUCUGAGCUCAAAGAGAUAGAGUUCAAAUCAGAUCCAGUGUCUUUUCUGUCUCUAGGUGCCCAAAAUUGUCAUAAAGAGACAAUCUCUUACCUUCUGAGAAAUAUCAGUCAUUCCCUGUGACUCACACCAGCUUCUAUAUUUAGAACUGGGUCUCCUGCCAUCUGAUGCAGGCCACAGAUGAACAGGUCUCCUGCCAUCUGAUCCAUACGCCACACUUCAGGCUAUGUUAUCCCUAAGCCCACCACAUCCACUUACGAUUGAGGACAAAGGAAAAAGAAAGGGCCAUCAUCUUUAUGUGUCUUUUAAAGGACAUUCCUGUCAGUAAGAAGAAAGAGUCUAAGAUUUUACCCCGCUAACAAGUUAUCCUAUUACAGUUUUAUAGAGCAGAGGACAAAAAACUACUGGGUCAAAGACAAAGACUUUAUUCCAUAUAGCAAUAGCAGUAGCCAGAGUAUCAGUAAUUUCUUGAACUGGUUCCUAAGACUCCAAUUAUUCCAAUAGGGUGUUAUAAAGAGGGCCACAUGACACCCACACACACAGCAGAUUGCAUUACAUGAGAGAAAACUCUGAGCUUAGGGAACCAGAAUCUUUUAUAAUAAGCGGUAAGCAUCCCUCCAUGCUCUAGAAGGAAACACUUUCUCUGCCACUUAAGGCUACUUAUUAUACAACUGUUAUUUUAAAAAACAGCUCUGGAACAAAGGGCAACCAGUGCCUCUGCUUGCAAGAUGUGUGAUUAGAACUAUAGAGAAUUUUCUCCCAAGAAUCCUUUGAUUUUGCUGUUGCCAGUUAUGGCAAAAAGGCAUACUGUGGCUUUAUAAUAUAGCAAUUGCUCCCUCAAUAGGCAACCACACACUUUCGGUCAGGGUUCUUGGGCACUUGGCUUUGGGCCUUGAGAAUCCCAUGGUUUCCAAAGAGAAUGUAAAUAUAAAUAAUGAUGUUUGAUUACACGUGUCCGUAUAAAGGUAUUCCACUUUGAAAAGUAACUUAGGAAAAAACAAAAACCCCAAAAAAGCCCACUUAAAAUUUCACACAUUUUUUAAAAGGGAAACGGUUUUAUUCCUUACGCUUUAUUUGAAUUGGAACCCUGCAUUUAAAUUUUAGCAUGUUGAGGUUCUUUAGAAAGGAAAGAUAAGUUUACAUACAAUCCCAGACAGAAUAUAAAAAAGACUCAUCAAAAGAGAAUUCUAAUUCCAGUCAAGUGACCCUCUUUCUACAAAUUGUUAAUUAAAAGCUCAAGGGUAAAAUAGGACAAAAAACCCAUUUAUUCAUUUUCAGAUAAAGGUCAGUUCUUCCAUGGUAUAACAUUAUUUUCCCUAGGGCAGUUAUAUUCAUACAUAGAAUCUACUUUAGCAAAAAUAUUAUCUGUUUAACUGGAAAUCUAUACAGAUAAUUAAAUUCCUGCUAUCUCACACAGCUACCUCUAGUCUUAUGGAAUAAAUGAGUGCACAUCAGGAUUUUUAAUUUUCUCAUUAAUAUAGCAAAUAAGUAAAAUUCAUUUACACGGCAUUUCUUCACUUUUAAAGAGCAAUGUUUCCUGUUCACUCUGCACUUUUAAAGUGUAAACACAACAUUCUUGCCAUAAGAGAUAAAAAGACUAUAUUCUCUUCAAAAAAGUGCUUUUAUGUGAAUAAAAAGGAAGUGUAUUCGAUUUUGUAGAAUCAUCACAAACAGAACUUAAAAUCACACUAGAAAUAGAUGCUAACAGAAAGCUGUUGAGUUUCCUUGCAAACAGGAAAAGAAGCAGUGGAUGUUCCAAAACUGGGGAUCCUGUCAAUGGCUGGGUCUGCUUAGUUGUGUGCAGUGCUCUGAAAGGGCUACAUCAGAAAUUCCUUAGUAAAUGAGUAAGUGAGAGUCAGAAUCUAAAGGCUAUGCCUGCCUUGGCAGCACAUAAACAGACACCUCAACUGUGCAAAGAUGGCUGGCAUAACCUCUGUGCAAGAGAAACACAUGCCCACAAAGUAUUCCAUGCUUCUGAAAGUGCCUAAAAGAUGUGGGUGAUAGUGUCU